CCUACGGGAGGCAGCAGUGGGGAAUAUUGGACAAUGGGCGAAAGCCUGAUCCAGCAAUGCCGCGUGAGUGAUGAAGGCCUUAGGGUCGUAAAGCUCUUUUACCCGGGAUGAUAAUGACAGUACCGGGAGAAUAAGCCCCGGCUAACUCCGUGCCAGCAGCCGCGGUAAUACGGAGGGGGCUAGCGUUGUUCGGAAUUACUGGGCGUAAAGCGUGCGUAGGCGGUUAUUCAAGUCAGAGGUGAAAGCCCGGGGCUCAACCCCGGAACGGCCUUUGAAACUAGGUAGCUAGAAUCUUGGAGAGGUCAGUGGAAUUCCGAGUGUAGAGGUGAAAUUCGUAGAUAUUCGGAAGAACACCAGUGGCGAAGGCGACUGACUGGACAAGUAUUGACGCUGAGGCACGAAAGCGUGGGGAGCAAACAGGAUUAGAUACCCUGGUAGUCCACGCCGUAAACGAUGAUAACUAGCUGUUCGGGUACUUGGUAUCUGAGUGGCGCGAGCUACGACAUUAAGUUAUUCCGUCCGUCGGGUAGGUACGGUCGCGAAGAAUUAAACUUAAAACUAGUAAGUUAGUACGGCGUGAGACGUGCCGACGGACGACGACGAGGGAGGUAGG
rnacentral:rRNA from 1 species